AGAGACUGCAAGCGUUAUUCGGAUUCACUGGGCGUAAAGGGUGCGCAGGCGGCCGUGUGUGUUAGAUGUGAAAUCCCGGGGCUCAACCCCGGAACUGCGUCUAAAACUACAUGGCUAGAGUAUUGGAGAGGGUAGCGGAAUUCACGGUGUAGCAGUGAAAUGCGUAGAUAUCGUGAGGAACACCAGAGGCGAAGGCGGCUACCUGGACAAUUACUGACGCUCAGGCACGAAAGCGUGGGGAGCAAAAGGGAUUAGAUACCCCUGUAGUCCACGCCCUAAACGGUGCACACUAGGUCUUGGCGGAUUCGACCCCACCAGGGCCCAAGCUAACGCGUUAAGUGUGCCGCCUGAGGACUACGGCCGCAAGGCUAAA
rnacentral:rRNA from 1 species